UACCAUUUGUGCAUGCGCACAACUGUUCAUGCACAUUUGCAAAUGGUGGUGUGUGCUCGUGUGGGCCUACGCCCACCCAUGCGCAUGCGCAAAUGGCAGUGUGUGGGCAAGCUGGACCACGCGCGCAGGCGCACACGAGCGGCGCAGGGGUGAGUGCGUACCAGGGGCGGGGGAAGGUGUUUCUCGUCAGCCCGGUCUGGCCCAGGCCAGGGACUGGGCCGGAGACCAGGAGUUGGGGAUUGCUGCAUUACGCCACAUUGGCUCAAACCACAUACAACAUACAAAAAAGAUACAUAUUUUCUCCAUAUACAGUAUAUAAAAAACAUAUUGUACUGUAUUUUGUUUCCAUUCUAGCAUAUGUGCAAGAAACAAGAAGCAAGUAUGAAUGGGUAAUAAAAACCUUUGAUCUUUGUAGGUGAAUGCUUGCAAAAUUAUAGUCAAUUUCAUUGCUGUAUCACUGCUCCACUAGCAGUUCUGAAAAUCAUUUCUGGACUGGUACCAUCCGGCUAGAUCAUCUGAUUAUAACAGGUUCGGAUACCACAAUAGUAGUCUAUACAUAGCUGCUGGGGAGAUUUCCUGUCUGACUCAGCUCCCACACACAGCUGCUUCUUUGAAGUGCAUGAGAGAAAAACUACUUUUCUUUUCAUCAUAAAGGAAAUGGAAUAUGGUUGAAAUCAUUAUAAUGAAGGUUGCCUACCCAAGGAAAGAGUUUGUAAAUCUGAAGAUAGCCUUCUAGUCUGCAUUCUAAAGAGCAGUUCAAGAUACCUCAGCGAAGAAGUACAUCCUUAAAAGAAAAAUUGCUACAUGCUUGUGAGGCUUUGUAAGCAGAGACAUGGCCACUGAGUUCUGCAAAGAAAAGAGUGCAAGACUGACUACUUAGAAAGCUAAUGGCAUCCCAAGGACUGACAAAAAAGAUGAUGGUCAGGAAUGGGGUGGUUGGAGGUAACCAGGGAAAAUGCAUUGCAAUUCCACACUUCCCCUAAUAGGCCAACCUCCACUGUGCAAAUUUGGAUGAAAAUCCUUGUUAAAAACCAACUGAAUGAAACAAACCUGUCACCCAUUUCUAGCUUGGGAAAAAUAUUUACAGGAAUAUGAGGGAAAAGUUUGCAUGGACCUCUGCUUGCAAAAUCAGCUUGUAGAAGGUUAUAGCCAUCACAUGGAUCUGUUCAAAAUAAUAGACUAAUGGAGUUGAAAGGCUGUAACCUUUCAACUCCAUUAUUCUC